GUAACAACCAUAUAUACAAUCUAUACAUUUCUUCAGACCAUUCAAAUCUUAAAAUGGAGCUCCCCUUCAAUUGAAGAAACGGAAAAUUUUUUCUUGUCAAAUUUUUACAGACUACUAACCUACUAAACAGAACCUCAUUAGUGGUAAAGUCCAUUUUAAUACUUCUUGCUUAUUAAUUCAUUAUUUUAUUGCCGUAAAACAUAAAUUAUCCUUUUAUUUUCUUCUUCUUUUCUUCCCUUGUAUAAUACUCAUUUUUCGCCAAGUCUCAAGUAUUCCAGUGUUCGAUUCCGACCAUGGAAACGAUCUCGGUCGGGUAAAAUGAAGACUCUGGUAGUCUCCAGGCUAUUGCAUCUCGUUCAGAUUUGGGUUGAUCUUCUGGAACAAUGCGGGCAACUGGUAGAACGUUAAUGAGGGAACAGAUGAAAAACUGGAAACCUAGAUGCGUGACAGGAGAAUCUGGUGUUCUUUUUUUUUGAAUAAGUAUAUUUAAUAGUUAACAAUAUCGAACAUGGUUUUAGUUAAAAACCAUGCAGAAACUACUGAACGCAAUUAAGUUUAAUAGUUCUUCUACUUACACAUUUUUUCAACCGUUACUUUACUAGUAUAGUCUGGAAAUAUAUAUAUAUAGUUAUUAACAUGUAACUAUUACCUUUUUUAGAUAAUAUUUAAAAAG